rnacentral:rRNA from 1 species
AUUAGACGAAUCAUCUGGAAAGAUGAAUCAAAGAAGGUAAUAAUCCUGUAGUCGAAAAUGUUGUCUCUCUUGAGUGGAUCCUGAGUACGACGGAGCACGUGAAAUUCCGUCGGAAUCUGGGAGGACCAUCUCCUAAGGCUAAAUACUCUCUAGUGACCGAUAGUGAACCAGUACCGUGAGGGAAAGGUGAAAAGCACCCCGGAAGGGGAGUGAAAUAGAACCUGAAACCGUGUGCUUACAAGUAGUCAGAGCCCGUUAAUGGGUGAUGGCGUGCCUUUUGUAGAAUGAACCGGCGAGUUACGAUUUGAUGCAAGGUUAAGCAGUAAAUGUGGAGCCGUAGCGAAAGCGAGUCUGAAUAGGGCGUUUAGUAUUUGGUCGUAGACCCGAAACCAGGUGAUCUACCCUUGGUCAGGUUGAAGUUCAGGUAACACUGAAUGGAGGACCGAACCGACUUACGUUGAAAAGUGAGCGGAUGAACUGAGGGUAGCGGAGAAAUUCCAAUCGAACCUGGAGAUAGCUGGUUCUCUCCGAAAUAGCUUUAGGGCUAGCCUCAAGUGAUGAUUAUUGGAGGUAGAGCACUGUUUGGACGAGGGGCCCCUCUCGGGUUACCGAAUUCA